GGGGAUGGUAUUAUUCGAUAAGCAGAUUGUUUCAUAUUUUGGCCAUUCGAGCGUGGUUGAUCGCUCGUUAAUCUCUUAACCAAGCCGACAAAUGCCAAGAAUCUUGUCGCGCGCGUGAAAUCAGCUUUUGCUGGUUUUUCAUUCGCACCAGCUGUCGCCUAAACAGUGACAUGCCGUCAGCUUCGCGAGUCACCAUAGCGAAUCACUGGCGCCAACCAUGGUGAUUGGAAAGUGCUUGUCAUCGUGGCGCUUUUGACCCCUUGAUCGGUGAUAGCGGAAAUGUUUUUUUGAACAUCUUUAACCAUUUUCCGCAAAAUUUUAAAGAUGCUCUCUGAUGGCACACCAAAAAUGAAACACUGUUUAGACGCGGGUGAAAUUCCCGCCAUCUCCACGA
rnacentral:tmRNA from 3 species